UUUUUUUAAAAAAAAAAUCGGUGAUUCAGUAAGUAACGGGAGAGGUAAGAUUACAUGAUCGCUAUAAGAUGCACGAGAGAGAAAGCAUUUCACUCAAUCGCGUUCAUUAAUCAAGAAAGAAAGUUAGGGGAUGGAAGACGAUCAGAUCACCGUCGUAGUCCUAACUAUAAUACGAUGUCAACCAAGGAUUGGAUUAGUUUUAGAGAGAGGAAAUCAAAGUAUCUUUGAUGCUAGAUCGAUAAAUUUCGUCUCCACCUUAUUCAGAACUUAAAGAGAAAUCUUGAGUUUAUGGACUUCAGGGGGAGUAUGGUCACAAGGCUGAAACUUAAAGGAAUUGACGGAAGGGCACACCAGGAGUGGAGCCUGCGGCUUAAUUUGACUCAACACGGGAAAACUUACCAAGCCCGAACAGACGUAUGAAUGACAGGUUAAGGGUUCUUUCAUGAUUUUUUGGGUAGUGGUGCAUGCCCGUUCUUAGUUGGUGGAGUGAUUUGUCAGGUUAAUUCCGGUAACGAACGAGACUGAAGCCUAUUAAUUAGUUUCCCACCUAUAAGAUGGGAACGUCAUCAAUGAUGGAUGGUUAACAUCAACUUUAAAGGGGAUAAUAUCAAAGUUUCUCGGAAUUAGUAGUCAGUACUUUGGUGGACCCUUUAAUCGGAAAAAAAGAUAAUGGAAGCAUUCAGCAAUAACAGGUCUGUGAUGCCCUUAGACAUCUUGGGGUGCACGCGCGCUACAAAGGAGAUACUAGCGAGUAUUUUUGGAAGAAGCCUGUCUUAUUAAGAGGUCAGUAAGAUAGAUAAUUUGCGUUGUACCAAGACUGAAAUAGUUUAGGAAAACUCAAAAGUAAGAGGAACAAUGCGUAAGCAGG
rnacentral:rRNA from 1 species